rnacentral:rRNA from 1 species
UACGUAGGGGGCUAGCGUUGUCCGGAAUCAUUGGGCGUAAAGAGCGUGUAGGCGGUCCGGUAAGUCCGCUGUGAAAGUCGGGGGCUCAACCCUCGAAUGCCGGUGGAUACUGUCGGGCUAGAGUGCGGAAGAGGCGAGUGGAAUUCCUGGUGUAGCGGUGAAAUGCGCAGAUAUCAGGAGAAACACCUAUUGCGAAGGCAGCUCGCUGGGACGUUACUGACGCUGGAGACGCGAAAGCGUGGGGAGCAAACAGG